rnacentral:rRNA from 1 species
UUCCGUAGGGUGAACCUGCGGAAGGAUCAUUAAUUAUGUUAAAGCGCCUUUACCUUAGGGUUUCCUCUGGGGUAAGUGCAUUGCUUCUACACUGUGAAAAUUUGGCUGAGAGACUCAGACUGGUCAUGGGUAGACCUAUCUGGGGUUUGAUCGAUGCCACUCCUGGUUUCAGGAGCACCCUUCAUAAUAAACCUAGAAAUUCAGUAUUAUAAAGUUUAAUAAAAAACAACUUUUAACAAUGGAUCUCUUGGUUCUCGCAUCGAUGAAGAACGUAGCAAAGUGUGGAUAACUAGUGUGAAUUGCAUAUUCAGUGAAUCAUCGAGUCUUUGAACGCAGCUUGCACUCUAUGGUUUUUCUAUAGAGUACGCCUGCUUCAGUAUCAUCACAAACCCACACAUAACAUUUGUUUAUGUGGUAAUGGGUCGCAUCGCUGUUUUAUUACAGUGAGCACCUAAAAUGUGUGUGAUUUUCUGUCUGGCUUGCUAGGCAGGAAUAUUACGCUGGUCUCAGGAUCUUUUUCUUUGGUUCGCCCAGGAAGUAAAGUACAAGAGUAUAAUCCAGCAACUUUCAAACUAUGAUCUGAAGUCAGGUGGGAUUACCCGCUGAACUUAAGCAUAUCAAUAAAGCGGAGGAAA